GUGCCUGUGGCUCAAAGAGUAGGGCGCUGGCCCCAUAUGCCAGAGGUGGUGGGUUCAAACCCAGCCCUGGCCA
rnacentral:tRNA from 1 species